GUGCUCGCUUCACCAGCACAUAUACUAAAAUUGAAACGAUAGAGAAAUUAGCAUGGCCCCUGAGCAAGAGACACCCUUUCCCUUCUGAGCCUGCUUAAAAAAAA
ensembl:snRNA U6 U6 spliceosomal RNA